UUUUAUACAUUUCAGUUUACUCCAUAUUAACAACUAUUCAUCAUGCUUUUUUCAAAACACAUGACAACAUCAACAUUUUUCCUGUCAACAGUUUGCAUUAAUUUCAAUGUCUGUGUAAUACUCCAUGACACGGAUACGCUAUAACCAUUUUGCUAUUAUACAUUUCUAUAUUGCAAAGUUUGCACUAUCAUAAGCAAUGUUUAGUUAGUUUAGACCAUCCGUAGACAUUUCUCUCUUCCUACAUUCCUUGGUGUGUUAAUAACAGUAGUAGUAGCUAACACAUUUAGUACUUGUGGGCCAGGCACUGUUUUAAAUACUUUAUACACAUUAUCUCACUUAAUCCACACAACAACCCUCUGAGGUAGAUACUAGAAAUAACUCCAUUAUACAGUGGAGGAAAAUUGAGCCAUAGGUUAUCAGAAACUCUAAGAGGCCCGGUUAAGGGACCACUCUUCGACUCCCAUUAAGAACCACUGCUUACCAUGAAAACGAUUUCUGAUAGGAGUACAUUAUACAUGCGAAUGAUAUAUAUAUGCACUGAAGAACGGAGCACUAAUUGAGGAACCCAGGAUCUAGUUCUUGGUCUGACUUCACUCAAAAUGUGAGACCAGUGCCAACUCACUUGAUCUCAACUGUACAAUGAAGAUUACACGUUAGGUACUCGCUUCGGCAGCACAUAUACUAAAACUGGAACGAAGAUUACAUGUUAGAUGGUCUCCUGCUCCUUGUGAAGUCUCAUGACUCUUGACAGUCAUUUCUAGAUUUUUCCUGGGAGAGAGACAUCAAGAUCUUUGUCCUCCUGGUCUCAAAAAUACUUAUCACUCAACAAUCAAUCAUUAAGCAUCUAAAAUAUAUUUUGUUUGCUAGAAAAUGGCAAAUAAUGGCUAGUCCUUCACAGAGAUCCAUUUAUAGAAUGAAACAGAGAGUUAGAACAGGUUCUCUUUCUGAAUCUUUUUUGGGUCAUGAACUUACCACAGAAUCUGAAGAUCAGGCUUCUCUCCCUAGAAGAGAAAACUUCUGUACAAACAAGAUGAUUUUGCAUACAAUAUUAAAAGUUGUUUACCGAUCCUCAGAAGUGAGUCGAUACACCCACUACGGGUAGUGAUUUCCUCAGGCUGAGAAGUGCUGAUGUAGGAACUCUCAUUGACUUAUCUUUCUGAAGUAUCAUUCUGACUGACAUCUUUUUGAAGAAGGCAAUGAAGCUGGAUAAUCUCCCACCUACUUAAUGGUUCCUUCUCAGAUUCUAGCAUUUUAAGGCUCGGUCAAGAAUGCUCCAAGGACAACUGCUUUUAUAGGAACUUGUGGAAAGAAAAGCUGAUGUGUUUUUGUACUACAA